UACGUAGGGUGCAAGCGUUGCCCGGAUUUAUUGGGCGUAAAGAGCGUGUAGGCGGCCAUACAGGUCCGUUGUGAAAACUGGAGGCUUAACCUCCAGACGUCGAUGGAAACCGUAUGGCUAGAGUCCGGAAGAGGAGAGUGGAAUUCCUGGUGUAGCGGUGAAAUGCGCAGAUAUCAGGAAGAACACCCGUGGCGAAGGCGGCUCUCUGGGACGGUACUGACGCUGAGACGCGAAAGCGUGGGGAGCGAACAGG
rnacentral:rRNA from 1 species